rnacentral:rRNA from 1 species
AUUCCUUGUCGGGUAAGUUCCGACCUGCACGAAUGGUGUAACCAUGGCCACGCUGUCUCCACCCGAGACUCAGUGAAAUUGAAAUCGCAGUGAAGAUGCUGUGUACCCGCACCUAGACGGAAAGACCCCGUGAACCUUUACUACAGCUUGGCACUGAACAUUGAACCUACAUGUGUAGGAUAGGUGGGAGGCUUUGAAGCACAGUCGCUAGAUUGUGUGGAGCCGUCCUUGAAAUACCACCCUUGUAUGUUUGAUGUUCUAACAUUGGCCCCUUAUCGGGGUUGUGGACAGUGUCUGGUGGGUAGUUUGACUGGGGCGGUCUCCUCCCAAAUAGUAACGGAGGAGCACGAAGGUUAGCUAAUCACGGUCGGACAUCGUGAGGUUAGUGCAAUGGCAUAAGCUAGCUUAACUGCGAGACAGACACGUCGAGCAGGUACGAAAGUAGGUCAUAGUGAUCCGGUGGUUCUGUAUGGAAGGGCCAUCGCUCAACGGAUAAAAGGUACGCCGGGGAUAACAGGCUGAUACUGCCCAAGAGUCCAUAUCGACGGCAGUGUUUGGCACCUCGAUGUCGGCUCAUCUCAUCCUGGGGCUGGAGCAGGUCCCAAGGGUACGGCUGUUCGCCGUUUAAAGAGGUACGUGAGCUGGGUUUAGAACGUCGUGAGACAGUUCGGUCCCUAUCUGCCGUGGGUGUAGGAUACUUGAGAGGAGUUGCCCCUAGUACGAGAGGACCGGGGUGAACGAUCCACUGGUGGACCUGUUGUGGCGCCAGCCGCAGUGCAGGGUAGCUAUGAUCGGAAAGGAUAACCGCUGAAGGCAUCUAAGCGGGAAGCCCCCCUCAAAACAAGGUAUCCCUGAGGGCCGUGGAAGACCACCACGUCAAUAGGCCGGAGAUGUAAGUGCAGCAAUGCAUUCAGUUGACCGGUACUAAUCGCCC